UCAGAUUGAACGCUGGCGGCAGGCCUAACACAUGCAAGUCGAACGGAAACAUGUCUAGCUUGCUAGAUGAUGUCGAGUGGCGGACGGGUGAGUAAUGCUUGGGAACUUGCCUUUGCGAGGGGGAUAACAGUUGGAAACGACUGCUAAUACCGCAUAAUGUUUACGGACCAAAGGGGGCUUCGGCUCUCGCGUWAAGAGCAACCCAAGCGAGAUUAGCUAGUUGGUGAGGUAA
rnacentral:rRNA from 1 species